rnacentral:rRNA from 1 species
AGAGUUUGAUCAUGGCUCAGGAUGAACGCUGGCGGCGUGCCUAAUACAUGCAAGUCGAACGAGGUGCUUUUGUAGCAAUACGAGAGUAUCCUAGUGGCGAACGGGUGAGUAACGCGUUGGUGACCUACCCCAAAGUGUGGGAUAACAGUCCGAAAGGACUGCUAAUACCGCAUGUGGUCAUUGGAUUUAGAAACUGAUGACUAAAGGAGCAAUUCGCUUUGGGAGGGACCUGCGUCCCAUCAGCUAGUUGGUGAGGUAACGGCUCACCAAGGCGACGACGGGUAGGGGACCUGAGAGGGUGACCCCCCACAAUGGAACUGAAACACGGUCCAUACACCUACGGGUGGCAGCAGUAGGGAAUAUUGCACAAUGGGCGAAAGCCUGAUGCAGCAACGCCGCGUGUGUGAUGAAGGCCUUCGGGUCGUAAAGCCCUUUUCUGAGGGAAGAUGAUGACGGUACCUCAGGAAGAAGCACCGGCUAACUACGUGCCAGCCGCCGCGGUAAUUC